UACGUAGGGCGCAAGCGUUGUCCGGAAUUAUUGGGCGUAAAGAGCUCGUAGGCGGCUUGUCACGUCGGGUGUGAAAGCCCGGGGCUUAACCCCGGGUCUGCAUUCGAUACGGGCUGGCUAGAGUGUGGUAGGGGAGAUCGGAAUUCCUGGUGUAGCGGUGAAAUGCGCAGAUAUCAGGAGGAACACCGGUGGCGAAGGCGGGACUCUGGGCCGAUACUGACGCUGAGGAGCGAAAGCGUGGGGAGCAAACAGG
rnacentral:rRNA from 1 species